GCUGGGCGUGGUGGCGGGCGCCUGUAAUCCCAGCUACUGGGAGGCUGAGGCAGGAGAAUGGCGUGAACCCAGGAGGCGGAGCUUGCAGUGAGCCGAGAUCCCGCCACUGCACUCCAGCCUGGGCAACAGAGCGAGACUCUGUCUCAA
rnacentral:SRP_RNA from 1 species